rnacentral:rRNA from 1 species
GACGAACGCUGGCGGCGUGCUUAACACAUGCAAGUCGAACGGUGAAGCGCCUUCCUUUUUGGUUGGUGUGGAUGAGUGGCGAACGGGUGAGUAACACGUGAGUAACCUGCCCCCUCCUUCUGGAUAACCGCAUGAAAGUGUGGCUAAUACGGGAUAUUCUGGGUCUGUCGCAUGAUGGGUCUGGGAAAGAUAUUGUUUCGGUGGGGGAUGGGCUCGCGGCCUAUCAGCUUGUUGGUGGGGUGAUGGCCUACCAAGGCGGUGACGGGUGGCCGGCCUGAGAGGGUGGACGGUCACACUGGCACUGAGACACGGCCAAGACUCCUACGGGAGGCAGCAGUGGGGAAUAUUGCACAAUGGGCGCAAGCCUGAUGCAGCGACGCCGCGUGAGGGAUGGAGGCCUGCGGGUUGUGAACCUCUUUCGCCAGUGAAGCAGGCCUGCCUCGUUUGUGGGUGGGUUGACGGUAGCUGGAUAAGAAGCGCCGGCUAACUACGUG